UCCUGCCGGUGGCUGGUGCCCCAGGAGCCGGGAGAGGUGGCAGCGGGCACCAUGGCCGAGAGGCUACAGUCCCCAGGCGGCGCCGUGUGCCCAGCCUCCUACCCCGACGCCCCCGCGGAGUUCCCCCCGCACCUCCAGGCCGGCGCGAUGCGGCGCCGCUUCUGGGGCGUGGUCAACUGCCUGUGCGCCGGCGCGUUUGGGGCGCUGGCCGCCGCCUCCGCCAAGCUGGCCUUCGGCAGCGAGGUGAACAUGGUCUUCUGCAUCUUAGGCAUUAUCGUGAUGGCCACCACCAAUUCUCUCAUGUGGACGUUCUUUAGCCGGGGCCUCAGUUUCUCCAUGUCUUCGGCCAUUGCAUCUGUCACGGUGACUUUUUCAAACAUCCUCAGCUCGGUGUAUGUAUCCUGUGACCCAGCAGUUGGCUUUGGAAGAUUUAUGUCACAGAUGUUGUCACCCGCAAGUGCAAAGACAUGUGCGAGGAAGUGACGUAUGAGGUCUGGAACAACUUCAAGGCCCGCCCAGAGGCAGUAGUGGCCGCUGAAGAGAAUGACAUCUACUUGGAUGGUUAAGAAAUCAACUCCAAGAAGCGAGGCACCGGGGCGUUCCACAGGCAGGAGGCUGCCCAGCACACCUGGAAGAGGGAUUUGCUUUGUUUUGCAGGAACUAGAAUCGUCCAUUGGGAUUUCUGAAAGUGUGAGUAUCACUGGGGCUCAGCCUCACCUUCCACCUCCCUUUCCCUGAAUUGCUCUGUCAUCAGCAUGGGGCCUGGAGGCACAGGGCAGGGACAGGUGGGGUGGGCCACUAGGUGGGACAGGAGGGCACCUGCAGCCAGAGAAGAGAGGUGCCUGGGUCCUCAGUUAAGAUGGUGUGUGUGUCCCUCUCCAGCUGGACCCUCUGUCCGUCUCUCUCCCGUGUAUUUGUGUCCCUUCUGACCACUCCCAGGCGUGGGGUGGCUCUCGUUCCCUCUGAAUCAGGAGAGGUGGACCGUGUCGUCCAGCCGUGCUGUCUGACAGGACCCUGGAGGCCCAGGCCGCACUGUCUUUUGAGGCUCCUUAUAAAUGAAAACCAAACGGCCUCCAAAACAGGCUUCAGGAACUGUGGCACAUUGUAAAAGCCCGAAUUUAACAAACUUUAUGUAUAUACAUAAUUUUUUUUUUAAGUUUAUUUCUUUAUUUUGAGAGACAGACGCAGCGUGAGGGAGAGGCAGAGAGAGAGGAUCCCAAGCAGGCUCCGAGCUGGCAGUGCACAGCCCGACUCAGGGCUCCGAGCCCACGAAGCUGUGAGAUCAUGACCUGAGCUGAAACCAAGAGUCGGACACUAAACUGACUGAGCCACCCAGACGCCCCAUAAACUGGUGUCUUUAAUAUUCAGGAGACAGAGGGAAGCGUGACUGUGGUUUUCACCAGGCCUGAUGGAGUUUGCAAAGAACUUUCAUGCUCUGGACAGAAGGGGGAGGAGUGUGGUCGAACCCAGGCCACAGGUUCAGAGAUUUGUGACAAGUGUCAUUUUAGCCCUGCACUUGCCUGUACAGCCUCUUUUAGAGAUUACAUCAAAAGUCUACAUUAGGGCCCUCUGCUCAUUUAUUUUUGCAUUUAUAUAGCACUUACUAUGUGUCAAGCACUGUUGUAAGUGCUUUUCAAAGAGGAACUCAGGGCACCUGGGUGGCUUUCUCAGUUGAGCAUCUGACUUCGGCUCAGGUCAUGAUCUCACACUUCGUGGGUUCGAGCCCCACGUUGGGCUCUGUGCUGACAUCUCAGAGCCUGGAGCCUGCUUCCGAUUCUGUUUCCCUCUCUCUCUCUGCCCCUCCCCCACUCAUGCUCUGCCUCUCUCACUCUCAAAAAUAAACAGAAAAGAAUACUAAUAAAAGAGGAACUCAAGUGGCUUUGCCCUUUCUCUGGUUUCCAUAAAGUGGAAGAAUGUCCAGCCGGGAUGCAUCGGGGUUUGGGAGAGAUGCGGGCCAUUCCCAGUUAAUUUCCAAAAUAGAAGAUGCCCAAAUAGGUAUAAACAUUUUAACGAUCACCAUUUCAUGGAGGAGGAAACUGAGGCACAGAACGUGAGCAUCUGUCCCAGGUCACACGGUGAGUGGGUGCACAGGCCCUCCUGGGCGCCCUGCCUGUCCGGACAGGCCACGCCCUCCAUGUGUUCUGUGAUGCUCUGGGGAGCCACACUGGGCGGGGGUGCCAGGCUGGGCUGGCAACCCCUUGUGCCACUGGGGUGGACGCUGAUGCCCACCCCUCACGCGUGUGUCAGAUGGACGUGCUCGCCAGGAAUUGGUCCGGGAGCUACCAGAGGCGCCUGGCUGGUACCUGUGGGCGGGCGGUGUCCUAGGCUUUACCCGGUGUUGUCCGGGACCCUGAGCACAGGUCGGCAGGAUACCAGGAGGGAGAGGGGAGAGGCCCCAGGAGUGGGGCUCCCAGCACCCCCAGUCGCUGCUCACCCCGCCUGGCAUUUCUGUGCUGAGAGCGUGGGGUCCCCACCCCAGCACGCACUGAAUCCACCUAUGAUCCAGCCCACGACGUGAGAAGAACCUCAGAGUGGACACCCACCGGAGCGAGAUGAGAGAAACUGGAGACCCUGUCGGGUGGGGGCCCGCCCCCUCCCUCCCUUUCCUCCCUCUCCCAGGAAUUUUCCAGCACAAACCCAGUCUCCAGACCCUCCCCGCCCCCAAGACUCGUGGAGGCCCCAGCCGCUCUCAGAGACUGAUCCAAGUUGUACACAGGUGUCCACUGCUCCUGAAAUGCAGUAUUUUUCACAAGCAGAUCAGCUGGAGGUGCGCGUACAGGCAGCGUCCUGGACCGGUGCCCUUGCCCCCAGCGGUGGAGGCUGGGAAUCUGCAUUGAAUGAAGGGACGUGCUCCCCUUUGCAGGAAGGCCUCACGUGGGAACGGCCACGGGUGGGGGCCCCAGGCCGGCUUGUGAAUUUGCCGGAUCUGCUGCUUCGGUUCCAUCCUCUACGCUCCAGCCCCUCUCGGCCAAGCGAGUACCGUUUACUCCAGCACCCCUGGGUCCUCCCCAUCCACUGAUCCCCGGGACUAACGCUGCCUUUGGGACCCUGGGGGCCUCCACCUCAGGGCGUAGAAAGAUCAGGUCAGUCAAGGGGAUUCCAACUUUGAGUAGCCGGGGAGAAGAGCAUUUUAAACAAGGUGCCCCUUGGGGGCCCCUGGGUGGUUCAGUCAGUUAAGCGGCUGACUCUUGAUUUUGGCUCAGGUCUUGAUCUCAAGGUUUGCGAGUUUGAGCCCUGCAUCGGGCUCUGUGCUGACAGCUCAGAGCCCUCUUGGGAUCUUCUGUCCCCUUCUGCUCUUCCCCACUCGUUCUCUCUCUCUCAACAAAAUAAACAUUAAAAAACAAACAAGGUCCCCUUUCCUGACCUUGGGGUAAAGCAGAUACCCCCCAAGGGGCACCCCACUUGAAGCCUCCCACCUUGCCCACCCAUGCCCCAGUGGGUCUGGAAGCAUGGCCAGCAGGCCGUUCAGGAGCCCACCCUGAGGUGCCCAGGUCUGCGGACGGGCUCUUGCAGGGCGUGGGCCGGCCCAGCUUGGGAGACUUGGGCAGGCACAGGGGAGGGAGACCCCGUGGCCAGCAGGUCCCCCUUCCCUUGAGCAGGGGUCUGUUCUGGGGUGGGGGGCAGGUUCGUCUUCCCGGGAGGAGGUACCUCCUCGUGUGGACUGAACGCCCUUUUUCGUUCACCGAAGGUGCUCCUUGGUGUUGUGCCCUCCAGAGCACAGAUGAUCAAUAUGCUUUUAAUUAAAACUCAGACUGCUUCAAGAUGACUGUGUGGUCCCCUGGGUCAUUUUCUUCUUUCUGCCAACAAGUUUCUUAAAGUAUCUUGUGCCGGGCAUCACGUGGGCCCUUGGGGAGCCAUCUGAUCCUCUGAAUUUCCCGGGUCAAGGGCCUCUUGAGAGGUUGGGCUUUCUUUUUUUCUCUUUUUUAAUAUUUAUUUGAGAGAGAGAGAGCAAGCAGGGGA